rnacentral:rRNA from 1 species
GAUGAACGCUGGCGGCGUGCCUAAUACAUGCAAGUCGAGCGAACGGACGAGAAGCUUGCUUCUCUGAUGUUAGCGGCGGACGGGUGAGUAACACGUGGAUAACCUACCUAUAAGACUGGGAUAACUUCGGGAAACCGGAGCUAAUACCGGAUAAUAUUUUGAACCGCAUGGUUCAAAAGUGAAAGACGGUCUUGCUGUCACUUAUAGAUGGAUCCGCGCUGCAUUAGCUAGUUGGUAAGGUAACGGCUUACCAAGGCAACGAUGCAUAGCCGACCUGAGAGGGUGAUCGGCCACACUGGAACUGAGACACGGUCCAGACUCCUACGGGAGGCAGCAGUAGGGAAUCUUCCGCAAUGGGCGAAAGCCAGACGGAGCAACGCCGCGUGAGUGAUGAAGGUCUUCGGAUCGUAAAACUCUGUUAUUAGGGAAGAACAUAUGUGUAAGUAACUGUGCACAUCUUGACGGUACCUAAUCAGAAAGCCACGGCUAACUACGUGCCAGCAGCCGCGGUAAUACGUAGGUGGCAAGCGUUAUCCGGAAUUAUUGGGCGUAAAGCGCGCGUAGGCGGUUUUUUAAGUCUGAUGUGAAAGCCCACGGCUCAACCGUGGAGGGUCAUUGGAAACUGGAAAACUUGAGUGCAGAAGAGGAAAGUGGAAUUCCAUGUGUAGCGGUGAAAUGCGCAGAGAUAUGGAGGAACACCAGUGGCGAAGGCGACUUUCUGGUCUGUAACUGACGCUGAUGUGCGAAAGCGUGGGGAUCAAACAGGAUUAGAUACCCUGGUAGUCCACGCCGUAAACGAUGAGUGCUAAGUGUUAGGGGGUUUCCGCCCCUUAGUGCUGCAGCUAACGCAUUAAGCACUCCGCCUGGGGAGUACGACCGCAAGGUUGAAACUCAAAGGAAUUGACGGGGACCCGCACAAGCGGUGGAGCAUGUGGUUUAAUUCGAAGCAACGCGAAGAACCUUACCAAAUCUUGACAUCCUUUGACAACUCUAGAGAUAGAGCCUUCCCCUUCGGGGGACAAAGUGACAGGUGGUGCAUGGUUGUCGUCAGCUCGUGUCGUGAGAUGUUGGGUUAAGUCCCGCAACGAGCGCAACCCUUAAGCUUAGUUGCCAUCAUUAAGUUGGGCACUCUAAGUUGACUGCCGGUGACAAACCGGAGGAAGGUGGGGAUGACGUCAAAUCAUCAUGCCCCUUAUGAUUUGGGCUACACACGUGCUACAAUGGACAAUACAAAGGGCAGCGAAACCGCGAGGUCAAGCAAAUCCCAUAAAGUUGUUCUCAGUUCGGAUUGUAGUCUGCAACUCGACUACAUGAAGCUGGAAUCGCUAGUAAUCGUAGAUCAGCAUGCUACGGUGAAUACGUUCCCGGGUCU